GAUGAACGCUAGCGGGAGGCUUAACACAUGCAGGCCGAGGGGUAUUGUAGCAAUACAUUAGUCCGGCGCACGGGUGAGUAACGCGUAUGCAACCUGCCGUUAACUGGGGUAUAGCCCGUAGCAAGGCGGAUUCAGACCCGAUAAUAUUGGUAUUCUGAAUGGGAUUUCAAUUAAAGCUUAGAUGGUUAACGGUGGUCAUGCGUGAUAUUAGCUAGUUGGUAGGGUAACGGCCGACCAAGGCUACGAUGUAUAGGGGUUCUGAGAGGAAGGUCCCCCACACUGGUACUGAGACACGGACCAGACUCCUACGGGAGGCAGCAGUGAGGAAUAUUGGUCAAUGGGCGAGAGCCUGAACCAGCCAUCCCGCGUGCAGGAAGACGGCCCUAUGGGUUGUAAACUGCUUUUGCGCAUGAAGAAUGUUACCGACGUGUCGGUAAGUGACGGUAAUGCGUGAAUAAGCAUCGGCUAACUCCGUGCCAGCAGCCGCAGUAAUAC
rnacentral:rRNA from 1 species